rnacentral:lncRNA from 1 species
CCAUCCACCCCCAUCAACGCCGGCGGAGGAGUCGCCGGUCUCGAGGUCGAGGUACGCUGCAGCUUCAUUGCCAGUAGUCAUAUCGGCGGUGGCUGGGGGAGGAAAAAGAAAUAUGAGUGAGAAACAAUUUGUGUUUAUUUUUGUGCAAAACUGAAAUUCUCUCGCGUGUUAGUUUCAGACAAAGAUUUUUUGAAUCUACAGCAAUAAAGUUUAAAUACACCAUGAAAUUUAUUGAUUAAAAAGAGACGAAAAAAUCUAACACGAGAGAGCAUCUAUUUUUACGAAAUUAACUAUUACCGUCUAAACGGCUGUUGUACCCGUAGCUCCGUGCACUCACACUCACUCUCAUUCUGAAUCAACAAAUCAUACAAACAAAAAUUGUUAAUUUCCACUUAUACAAAUGCACAAGCUAGAAAGUAAAUUGAAAUCAAAUACCAGUAGAGAGGUGAAAGCAACAAUCACCUUUUGGCAUUGCUAAAUCGACGAUCGUCACUGCUCCGAAAAGACUCCGACGACGGUCUUUUGCUUCCGGAUAGCACCAAAGCAUUCCGGCGAACUCCAUUAGAAUCUCUCGACGAAUCCUUCACCACCUUCUGCGCACCACGAAAAAUGCAAACACCCGCAGAAUUAGCUUAAUUAUCAAAACGACGACGAUCGGAAAUCUCGUUUGAAAUGAAAAGUAAUUAAUACAGGAUUGCAAAAUUAAGUAGUCCACAGUCAUGGAUAACGAAAACAAAAAGGGGCAGAUUUACAUGAGUCUCUAAGCAUACUGUAAACGCUGUUCCUACACAAUCGAAAUCGAAUGCAAAUACUAAUUAAAUCGAACAAUUUAAAGAGGCAGCAAUACGGAGAAAAAACGAGGAAGAAAAGAAACAGACAAUUCUUACAAAAUUGAAGCUCUAUUAACGGUGAUACAAACAUGAUUAUAUCAACACCUUAAAAUAGAUAAUAACGAAAAUAAAUGCAACCCUUUUCAGCAAUUUUAAAUAAAACCUGGGAAAUUAGGUGGCAGAGAGAAGAAGGAGGUGGGGGCUGCACAGAGAACUUAGGUGGCGGAGAUGCGGGAUAAUAUUAAAAAAAGAUAGAGGGCGGCGUCUGCAAUUGGUUGAAAAAAAGGUGGGAAGUGAUGUUAGUGUAACGAACUUAACGGUCUUUUGAAAAUUCCCUCAUACGACGUCGUCCCACUUGAAGAAUCGUUAUUGUCAUUUCCUUUAAACACGUUUUUUCUUUUAGUAUUGCUUUUAUUUAAACGUCGUCGUUUUAUGAUGACUGUGCAGGAGCUCAUGCGUUUUGCAUGCAUGUGAGCUCCUGACCUAUCCAACUGCUGCCCCUUUUGCUUCUAUAAAAGGAGGGACUAGCUCUUGCUUUAUUUUCAAGCUUUUUCAGAUUAGUUCUAGUUUAGGUAAGUAGUGUAGCUGGAGUUCUCUAUUAUCCGUUGUGUAUUGAGGAAAACCCUAAUCUUUCCUAUCAAUAUUACACUAUCUUUUACCUACUCUUUUGUCUGGUGUGUGUGAAUUAAACCAUUGUGGAGGGAGUUCAUAACAUUUGGUAUCCAGAGCCAGGCUUUCCUGUCCAACCACGCAACCAUUGAUGAUGACAAGAAGCCAUAUGCGUUCAGCUAGUGGAGAACACAACAUAACCGAGGCUGAGAUUUUUGUGGAAGAACAGCUAGCUUUUAAUGAUAAGAUCCAAGGAGAGCUGUCUAUCUUACAGGAAGAGAUCUCAAGAAGCAGAGUCGAAAACAACCAGAAGAUGGAUGAGAUGAACAGAAUGAUGGGGGAAAUAAUCAGAUCUAUAGGAGGAGACAGAGGAAAAACCUCAGCAGGCAACACCUCAUACCAACCUCACAGGAAUCCAGAGAUCUCACCCCCAAGAAGAGGCCAGAUCUAUGAGGAGCAAGGUAACCCUAACACCUUCCUCAGAAACUUAGAGAGGAGAGAUAUUAAGAUAGAUUUCCCCAGAUUUGAUGGGAAUCUGCCCAGAACUUGGUUGAGAAGAUGCCAUAGGUACUUUGAGCUAAACCCUAUGUCUGAGCAAGAAAAAGUCAAAUUGGCAUCUGUGUAUUUAGAAGGGAAGGCUGAAGAUUGGUUCUCAGAUUACAUUGAAAGAAUGGAGAGAGUGGAGUGGGAGGUUUUCUCAAAUAUGAUUCUGGAGAGGUUCAUGGAGGAAGAGGGGGUGAGUUUGCUAGCUGACUUCAACAGAUUGCACCAAACUUCCACUGUAGAGGACUACAGGUUGAAGUUUGAGCACCUUAAGGUGUUUGUAUCAAGAAAAUACCCUAACCUGCCUGAAGGAUAUUAUGUGGAGUGCUUUGUGGAAGGACUCAAAGGGGAAGUGAAGAAUAUGGUGAAGAUGAUGAGACCAGUUGCCCUAGCAAGUGCCAUUCAACAAGCCAAACUACAAGAGGGAUGUGUAGAUCAGUUAAAGACAGAAAUCAAGAACUCAGUGAGAGCCAGUAAUCAGACUAUAAGGAACCACAGAAUGGGGGUUCAAGAUCAGCCACUAAGGAUACAAUACCCUGAGAAGAAGACCCCUGAAACUAGAAGACUUACCAGGCCUGAGAUGGAGGAAAGGAGAAAAAGGGGAUUAUGCUACAACUGUGAAGAGAAGUAUACACCAGGGCAUAGAUGCAAGAGACUUUUCAAUAUUGAGUGUAUACCAUCAGCGGAAGAAGAGGUAGAGGAAGGAGAUGAAGAAGAGGCAGUAGAAGAAGAUGUGGAAGAAAUCAUGCAAAUAUCAUUCAGUGCUAUGGUGGGACAGAUCUCUCACACUACACUCAAGGUUAUUGGUAAAGUCAAAGGGAAAUCCAUAACCAUACUUAUUGACACUGGAGCUUCCCACAGCUUUCUUGAUCCACAGUCUGCUCAUGGAUUGAACUGUGACCAAAUAUACACAAAGAAGAUGAAGGUGACUGUAGCAGGGAAACAACAAGUAUUUUGUGAUUCCAAGUGCCCUAACUUUCAGUGGGAAAUGGGGAGCUACCAUUUUCUCAUGAGCCUAACACUGUUAGAACUGGGGGGAUGUGAUGUGGUAUUGGGGGUGGACUUUAUGAAAAAAAUUGGGCCGGUGGUUUUUGAUCACAAUCAGAACUGUAUCACUUUGAGACAAGGAGGAAAGGAGAUUGUUCUCAAAGGGGUUAGUGGUGACCCACAGUUCCUUAUGAUCAAUGAAGAGGAGAUGCAAGGCAUCCUGGAUAGUGGGAGCAUUAAUAUGGGCUGUUUAUUCAUGUUGUCUGCCAAAGAAAACCCGAGUCAUGAAGAACUGAUAUCAAGAGAAGUGGAAGAGGUACUUGAUCAGUUCAAGGAUGUCUUUAAGAACCCCACUGAACUACCACCAAGUAGAAAGACUGAACAUACUAUCACUCUCAAGGAAGGUGCUCAACCUUUCAAAUCACAACCAUAUAGGUAUCCCUAUAUGCAAAGGAAAGAGGUUGAGGAAAUGAUCAAAGAAAUGCACAACACUGGGAUUAUACAAGACAGUUGCAGCCCCUUUGCUUCACCUGUCUUACUGGUUAAAAAGAAGGAUGGUACUUGGAGGUUCUGUGUUGACUAUAGAAGGUUAAAUGCAAUGACCAUUAAAGAUGGAUAUCGAAUACCCUUGAUUGAUGACCUUCUGGAUGAGUUAAGGGGUGCCAAGGUUUUCUCAAAAGUGGAUCUGAGGGCUGGAUAUCACCAAAUAAGGAUGAGGGAGGAGGACAUUGAGAAGACUGCAUUUGUAACUUCCUCUGGACACUAUGAAUUUAAAGUGAUGCCUUUUGGAUUAACCAAUGCACCAGCUACAUUCCAAGCAAUAAUGAAUGAUGUGUUCAGAGAGUAUUUGAGGGAAUUUGUGCUAGUAUUCUUUGAUGACAUACUCAUUUACAGUAAGAGUGAAGAGCUACACAUUACUCAUCUGAGCAAGGCACUAGAGUUGUUAAGACAACACAAAUUGUUUGCAAAAAAAUCUAAGUGCAGCUUUGGGCAACCCAAGGUGGAAUAUUUAGGGCAUGUGAUUAGCCAAGAGGGAGUGGGGGUUGACCCUGGGAAGAUCCAAAGUGUGGUAGACUGGCCAGCACCCAAAACAGUUAAGGCUCUAAGGGGAUUCCUUGGACUGACUGGCUACUAUAGGAAGUUUGUGAGAGGGUAUGGGGAGAUAGCAAAGCCUCUAACUCAGCAAUUGAAGAAAGGGAAGUUUGCAUGGAAUGAAGAGGCUCAGAGGGCUUUUGAGAAACUUAAAGCAGCAAUGACCACCACUCCAGUCUUACAACUACCAAAUUUUCAAGAAAAGUUUAUUGUGGAAACUGAUGCUUCAUAUUAUGGGAUUGGGGCAGUAUUGAUGCAGCAAUCGCACCCCAUAGCUUUUCUAAGCAAAGCUUUAGGGCCAAAGAACUUAGGUCUCUCCAUUUAUGAGAAGGAGUUUCUGGCUAUCCUUCUUGCAGUACAGAAGUGGAAAGCCUACCUGAUUUGUGGAACAUUUGUGAUAACGACUGAUCAGAAAAGUUUGAAGUACUUAUUAGAACAAAAAUUGUCCACACCACUGCAGCACAAGUACUUGGCCAAGUUACUAGGGUUCAACUACACUAUUGAAUAUAAGAAAGGGACUGAGAACAGUGCAGCAGAUGCGCUGUCAAGGAGAGAAGAGGUUGGGGAGUUAGCUCAGAUCACUAUCAUGCAACCUAUGUGGAUCCAAGAGGUGAUCCAGAGCUAUGAGGGAGAUGAAGAAGCUAAAGAGAUCAUUAGCAACUGCACACUGAGACCAAUGGAUGUGAAUUUCUAUCAGUAUUGUGAUGGGAUCAUCAAAUACAAAGGAAGAGUCUAUGUGGGAGGUGCUGGAGGGAUCAGUCAAAGGCUAGUGGAACAUAUGCAUGGAUCUCAGUUGGGGGGACAUUCUGGAAUCCAAAACACCUACCACAGGAUCCAGUUAGUUUUCCUAUGGCCUGGCUUGAGAAAUCAGGUGAAGGAAUGGGUAAGACAGUGUGCUAUAUGCCAACUCAGCAAACAUGAGAAUGUUAAAUUACCUGGUUUACUUCAACCAUUGCCAGUAGCUGAGCAAGCCUGGUCAAGCAUUACCAUGGACUUUAUUGUCAAAUUGCCUAAGUCUCAAGGAAAGGAAACUAUAUGGGUGGUGGUUGACAGAUUUACCAAAUAUGGUCAUUUUAUAGCACUUAGUAGUCCCUUGAGUGCCUCACAACUGGCUCAAGUGUUUGUGGAGGAGGUGUAUAGGUUGCAUGGGCUUCCCAGUUACAUCAUUUCUGAUCGAGACACCCUCUUCACUAGCCAAUUCUGGAAGGAACUGAUGUUAGCUCUGGGGGUGCAACAUCAGCUCAGCACUGCUCAUCACCCUCAAACAGAUGGGCAGACCGAAAGAGUCAACCAGUGCCUGGAGUCAUACCUACGUUGCAUGUGUGGGCAGAUGCCGAAGAAAUGGAGCACGUGGGUGCCAUUGGCAGAGUGGUGGUACAAUACCUCACACCACUCCACCAUACAAAUGACCCCCUUUGAAGCAUUGUAUGGGUACAACCCCCCUCAAAUAGGUUAUGGACCACAUUUAUUGCAAAAAACAGGUGGUGUUGAAGCUUGGGUCAAGGACCAUCAAGCCAUCUCUCAGAGGUUGAAAGAGAUGUUAGGAGAGGCCCAAGCAAGGAUGAAAUAUUAUGCGGACCGCAAUAGGAGUGAGAGAGAGUUCGAGGAAGGAGACUGGGUGUAUUUGAAACUUAAACCCUAUAAACAGCUAAGCUUGAGAAAGAGUGAAAUAUGGAAGCUAACUCCUAAGUACUGUGGGCCCUUUAGAGUCAUCAAAAGGAUUGGAUUGGUGGCUUAUGAGUUACAACUACCUCAAGAAGCUAAAGUUCAUCCGGUUUUUCAUGUAUCUCAAUUGAAAAAGCAUGUGGGAAAAGUGAGUAGGGUGGUUGCUACUCUUCCCCCAUUAGACGAGCAUAAUCAAAUCAUACUCAUUCCAGUAGCGGUACUUGAGAGGAGAAUGGUGAAGCAUAACAAUGCCGCUCAGGUUCAAUGGUUGGUGCAGUGGGCCCACCUGCCUAAGGAAGAAGCCACCUGGGAAGUUGCUGCAGAUAUGGAGUACAAAUUUCCAGCUUUUAAGCCAUGAGACAUGGCUUCUUGAAGGGAGGAGUAGUGUAACGAACUUAACGGUCUUUUGAAAAUUCCCUCAUACGACGUCGUCCCACUUGAAGAAUCGUUAUUGUCAUUUCCUUUAAACACGUUUUUUCUUUUAGUAUUGCUUUUAUUUAAACGUCGUCAUUUUAUGAUGACUGUGCAGGAGCUCAUGCGUUUUGCAUGCAUGUGAGCUCCUGACCUAUCCAGCUGCUGCCCCUUUUGCUUCUAUAAAAGGAGGGACUAGCUCUUGCUUUAUUUUCAAGCUUUUUCAGAUUAAUUCUAGUUUAGGUAAGUAGUGUAGCUGGAGUUCUCUAUUAUCCGUUGUGUAUUGAGGAAAACCUAAUCUUUCCUAUCAAUAUUACACUAUCUUUUACCUACUCUUUUGUCUGGUGUGUGUGAAUUAAACCAUUGUGGAGGGAGUUCAUAACAGUUGGCGGCAGGGGCGGUGGGCAUCGGACGAAGCGGCAGCGGCGGACGUGGAAGCGGCGAACGGUGGAGGUCAACAAUUGUGGCCAGAUGUGGAGGCCCUCGCUGAAACGACGCCGUUUUCGAGCGAGCGGAUUAAAAGAAAAGGAGAAAAAGAAGCAGAGACGUCGUGGUUGAGCAGCUUGGGAAGAAAACGAAAAAGAAAAGAACGCGGCCAGCUGAUUGGAUAGGAGGACGAGAACGACGACGUUUGGUAUUUAAAUAAGGCAGAAAAAAAAGCAAAAAGAAAAUGAGUAAAAAAAAACGGGACGAUAAACACGGGUGAAUGAAAAAAAAGGCCCACAAGGGACUUAAAUGCACAUUGUUCCAAAAAAAAAAACGGUCUUUCAAAUAAACUCAUCUCCAUGUCUUUAGUCUAAAAUACGCUCUAUAAUAUAAUUCUUAUCAAUUCCAUCCAUUAUGCUAUAUCUUCCUCAAUAUUACGCAUUGACCCGGGAUUUAAACAAAUAUAUCACAUUAACCCCCAAAAUAAUAUUUUUUUGAAAACAUAAUUUUUUUUUCAUAAAUUUUUUUUGAAAACUUUUUUUUUCUAAAUUUUUUUUCCGGCCGAUCAACCACCGUUAACCACCGGUCUCCGGCGUUGACUUUUUUUUUCAAUUUUUUUUUUCUUACAAAAAAUUAUUUUUAUUAAUAUUACUGUCUUGGCUGCUAAAUUACUGUCUCAUACAGUAAUAUUACUGUUUGAGACAUAAAUAUAAUAUUCAUAAUAUUACUGUCUCAAACAGUAAUAUUACUGUCUAAGACAGUAAUUUAGCAGCCAAGACAGAAAUAUUAAUUAAAAUAAUUUUAUUUAAGAAAAAACAAAUUUUUUUAAAAAAAGUCAAUUAACAGUUAAAUUACUGUCUCCGACAGUUAAAUAACUGCUGGAGACAGUAAUGUUAAUUAAAAUAUUUUUUUAAGGAAUAAAAGGGUCAAUUAACACUUAUAUUACUGUCCCCGACCCGACAGUUAAAUAACUGCUGGAGACAGUAAUUUAGCAACAAAUAUAGUAAUAUUAAUUAAAAAUUUUAGAAAAAAAAAAAGUCAAUUAACAGUUAAAUUAUUGUCCCCGACAGUUAAAUAACUGCUGGAGACAGUAAUUUAGGAGCCAAGACAGUAAUAUUAAUUAGAAAUAUUUUUGAAGAAAAAAAGAGAGGUCAAUUUACAGUUAAAUUAUUGUUUCCGACAGUUAAAUAACUGCUGGAGACAAUAAUUUAGCAGCGAAGACAAUAAUAUUAAUUUAAAUAUUUUUUAAGAAAAAACAAAAUUAUUAAAAAAAAAAAAAGUCAACGCCGGAGAUCCGGCGGUCAACCUACCGGAAAAAAAAAAAAAAAAUAAAUAAAUUAACGUCGGAGACCGGCGGGCUCCGGUGGUGGCGGGUCAAAAUUGAAAUUAAGGUUAAAAUUGGUUAAUUGGUGAAAUUGGGCUAAAUUUGGGUGUAAAUCAUGAAAUUGGAGUUGAAUUGAGUUUCAAUGAAUUAAAUUGGAGUUGAAUUGAGUUUCAAUUAAUUGAGGGUAAUUUUGGUAUAUAUGCAAGGAUUUUCCUUAUUUGCAAAUAAGUUUGAAUGAGCUAGAUUUAUUUGAAAGAGAAAAAAGUUGGAUAUCCCUCUUUUAAUUAAGUGCCCUUGUCAUGGGCCUAUUUGUUAUUUGCCAUAUUAUAUAUAUAUAUAUGAGUUAUUGCAAAUACCAUCCAUGUGAAAUCUCUAAUUGUCAAAUACCCACUGUCAAAAAAAAAUUCGCUCAUACCCCCCUAUGUAAUAUUUUUCGAAGGUGACAGCACCCAUUAUCAUUUUAAUGGUUGACUGAAGGUAAAACGACAAGUAUACUCCUAAGUGGAAUAAUAGAAAAUUAUAAUAAUUUAAGAGGUCAAAUUGAAAUUUCGUUAAACUUCAAAAUCUUAAAUUGCGGGACUAUAUUGCAAUUUUUCAAAAUCCAUUUCCCAAUUUUCUGCAAUUUUUCCUAGCAGCAGCCCAAUUCCCCACACCUUCCUCUCAAUUCCUAAUCAUACAUAUCAUUCACCACCGCCGCCCACCACGCACCACCACAUCCAUCAAUUGUUUAGGCUUCUUCAAGCUCCGAAUUUUUUGGUGGCGGUGUAGAAGCUCGCGGCUUGAUUGAUUUUGUUGAUUUACGAUGAAGGGUCUGUAGAUGGCUAUGGAAUGCGUUUUUGCAGGUCUAAAAAUGGUGGCGGGUCCGGCGAUGUUGUUGUGGAAGUAGGAGGGAGAAUUGGAGUGGGGAUGGGCCGAGGUUUGGACUCGCUUCUCCCAAUUGAGGGUGGCCCAUUUCGCGGCGGAGGUGCAGCGGUGUAAUUUUGCGACCGUCAAGAGGGAGUUUUGUUACACCAUUUUCAUCUUGCAGCUGGUAGCGGUAAUCGUUGGUGGGUACUGCUACAUGUUGGGAUGAUGGAGAAUGAAGAAUGGUACGUUGGGGACGACGGAGAAUGAAGAACAGGGAGGGAGCAGGGGCUUGGAGACAUUUUUUACAUUUCACAGUUGAAAAUUAAGAAAAAAUCGUAGUAGGAGCGUGUGAGAGACACGAUUUGCUCUCAGGGGUCUCAAUACCUUGACUUUGUUUACACAAGGGGUUAUGAGCAAAUGUUUUUUUGACAGGGGGGUAUUUGACAAUUAGAGAUUUCACAGGGGUGGUAUUUGCAAUUAACUCAUAUAUAUAUAUAUAUAUAUAUAAGAAAGAAAAUAUAAUAUAUGUAUAAUUAAUAAUUAAUCUUUUCCAAAUUCUAAUAGUUAAUUGAUCACUCAAACUGGGCCUAUAAAGUAUUAAUUAGCAGGAGAAUCGAACUCAGGUCGUUAAACACCGCGCACAUUCUCCUACUCCGAUCCACCAACUAGGCCACUGUUGCAGACUUUAAUUCCAUCGAUCAUCAAAUUUUAUUUUAUUGACAAAUGAUAAUUUUACAGUUAAACGACCUCUAUAAAUUAAUACAGUCUUGACCAGUCAAAUUCUAUUAAUUUAACGAAAUACUUUUUUUGAAACGUUGUCGUCAAGUUGGGACAGGGAAAAUAUAUUAUUUUAAACGAAGUUAUUAAUUUAUCGAGAUUCUACCAUAUGAAUUAUAUUAUGAUAUAUUUUUUUUAUAUAUUUUCUUAUUUAAGAUAGGGUUGUAGGAUUAUAACUCAAUAAAUUGCAUUUGCGUCUACCGUUAUGCAUAAACAUAUGUUUAAUUAAAUUCAUUCCUGGAAAUAUAUAGUCUGCAUCACUCUAGUUACUAAUAUAUGUAAAACAAAUCGUAUAUCUCAUUUAAUCAUACACAUCCUACCAAAUUAAAAAAAAGAAAACCACUUAAUUAAUUAAACAAGAGAGAGAGAGAGAGAGAGAGAGAGAGAGAGAGAGAGAGUACCUGUUGCCAAGAAGGGAGUGCAAAUGAAUAAUAAGUUGUUCUUCGUCGGGCGAAAAGGUGCCACGUUUAAGGUCAGGGCGGAGAUAAUUGAUCCAGUGGAGGCGGCAGCUCUUGCCGCAGCGGUGAAGGGCGGCAUUACGAGCAAUAUCACUCCAACAGCCUUGCCCAUUUCUCACCAUGUAAUUCAUCAGCUUCUCGUCUUCCUCCGGCGACCACAAACCCUUCCUCAUCUUUCCACCACCCUUCACUCCAUUUUUAUUUUCAUUACUAAUUUUAUUAUUAUCAUGCUUCCUCAUUUAAAAAAAUAUAAACAUUAUAUAUAAAAAAUAUGGGAAUAUAUGAAUGGUAAUAAUAAUUCCCAAGUAGAGAAUUAAUAAUCUCUCCCUAUAGUUCUUCCAAUUGGGAUUGAUGGAGACUGUGAAAAAUGAAUGUAUAUAUAUAUAUAUAUAUAUAUAUAUAUAUAUAUAUAUAUAUAUAUAUAUAUAUAUAUAUACAGGUACGGAGCACCGCGCAAUGCGCUGUGUCCGGUCGUGUCAUAUGUGCACAAGUAUCUCGCCGGGGUUGGUGAUGCCAAUGCACCAUGUGAUACAGUGCAAUCCCCGAAAUUAUGAAACAAUUGGACGAAAAUGAACCUUAAUAACUUAUCACUUGGUAUGUACGUACUCACGACAACUACAAUAAUGUAUAAGUAAUUCUUGCCAAUUAUUUACAAAUGCGUAUUUGAAUGGGUAAACAACAUAAAACCCCCCUGUGUUAAGGAAAACUUGCGCCAAAUCCCCCUGUGUUUUUUUUCUUGCGUAAAACCCCCUUGUGUUUUAUUUUUCUUUGCACGAAAUCCCUUUUUCCGUUAAAAGUUAACACCGUUAACUAUAGAGGGUGUUUUGUGCAAGUUUUUUGUAACAUAGGGGGUUUAAUGCAUAUUUCUACAAUACAAGGGGAUUUUAUGCAAAAAAUAAUUUAUUUGUUUAAAUUUCAUAUUAUUUUCUGAAAUUAAGUUGAACAUAUUUAUUCAAUUACAAUAUCAAAAAUAAAAAAUUUAAUAGGUGUGGUGAAUGUUUAAAAAAAAAAUCAAUCUUUAUAUGAUAUUAUUAAUGUAUGAAUUUUGAUUUUGUAAAUUAUAUCAUUUUUUUUAUUAGAAUUAUUAUAUAUGUUUAUAAUUUAUUCUUGAUCAAUUAUAUGUGAAAAGAAUAUAAAUAAUUUGAGAAUUCGUUCCUACUUCCAUCUCGAGUAUUAUUUUCUUAGUUUUCAUAUUUUAAAUUAAUAGAUGUAUUCGACUUAAUUUAAGAAAAUAAUUUGAAUUUAAAUGAAUAAAUUAAUUUGCAUAGACCCCCCUUGUUUUGCAAAAUUAUGCACCAAAUCCCCUUAUGUUACAAAAAAAUUGCAUAAAACCCCAUCUAUAGUUAACGGCGUUAACUUUUAAGGGAAAAGGGGAUUUCAUGCAAAGUAUAAUAAAACACAAGGGGGUUUUACGCAAGAAAAAAAACACAGGGGGGUUUGGCGCAGGUUUUCCUUAACACAGGAGGGUUUUAUGCUGUUUACCCAUAUUUGAAUCCAACAUAACUAUUGUCGUUCAAAAAUCUAAUCCUACCAGCAUAGUAUAUCUCUCAAUGGUCGUAUGAUGCUUCCUACUAUAGAAGGGAAAAUUUGUUAACCAUUACGAUGACAAAAAAUCAGAUCCAUACGGGUACAAAUACCUUGUAGAGAGGCAUGCAUUCCAAAUUACUUUGUCCCUCAUGUUAAACAAAAUCAAAUAGCCUGCCGGAAAAAGUAAAUCUCAUUUGAAUUGGCAUGAUACUAAAUUCAAAUUCUUACAAAAGAAGUUGUAAUAGAAAUGUUUUACACACAUCAGAAUGAAUGAUGAGUUUAUGAGACACAAGUUUGGUAAAAAGUAAUCAAUCAGAUAAGUUCCUAUAUGCUCCAUUACGUUCCACCGAUAAUUUUACAGACGUAUUCAGCUAAUAAUGCACAAGUGAUAGGAUUUACAAUAGUCGUACUAAAUUAUAUACUACACUAUCCAUUCUUUACAAAGACUAAUUUACUGCGCUAUUAUUUGUAAGCAAGUGUGUCGUGAAACAAUAAGUUAUGCACAAUUUUAUUAACGGAAUUGGUAGUCAGGUUCCGAAGCAAGGCGAUCAAUUAACGUUCGUAAGAAAAUGAGAUGUCACCAAAUAACCAGGAAGAAUAACCUAGGAAGUCAAUAAAAAUGAAUAAAAUUCAUACCAUUUUCUUAUUAUCACAGAGAUUAAAAAAACUUCAGUUGACCUUUAGAGAAUCAAUCCCUAAGGAAAAAAAAGUUAAUUAAUUAUUAACAAAUCAUAUAAAGCAGAUAAAUCCAGCGGUACUGACCAACUAAUUAGAACUUGUACAUUGUUCUACUAUAUGUUAUGUUACCAGAGUAACUGCAGUAGCUGCGCAUAAGCUAUAGUUAAACUAACCAGAGAAAGACAAUGAGGCUUUACUAUAGUUAAACUAACCAGAGAAAGACAAUGAGGCUUUAUUCAUAAAUUCUUGCAAGGGUUGUGCAGAUGCUCCUCAAAGUGUGUCUACAUUUCAAAACAAUGCACAAGCUCAUUUAAAAAAAAAUAGUUGGCACACACCUUCGCACCUUCUAAGGAAAUUCUUAAUUAAGGCAGCUCUUGGACGGUUACGUUUCUUCAUAAACAAAAAAUGCGAUGGCAUAUAUGUUAAGUGUAGAUUUUACGCUCAAUACGCUUACUUUACGUGGAUCUUUUGUUUAGAGUUAAUUAUAUUUGUGCUUUAAUUGAUUGAUUUUGUGUUUUAUAGGUGAAAAACAAGAAUUAGGUGUCCAUGAACGAAAAAAGAUCAAAAAAAAAGGAAACUGUUGCAAAUAAGGAAAUAAAUCUAAUUGGAAGAAGGAAUCUCGCCACAGCUUUGGCAGUGUCCACCAUUUCGAGCAUAUCUCUCUCAUACGAAUUCCAAAUCAGCUGAUUUUGGCGGCAUUGGAGAGCUAAUUCCAAGGGCUACAAUUCUUAUUCAUGCAACAUUCCAAAAUUCGGACUCCAACAUGGCGACAAUCGAAGAACAAAUCCUGAUUGGGGAAAGUGGCGGAAAUUGAUUCCUAUUAGGUUUUCACUACUUCCUUAUCAUGAAAAGCCUAUAAAAGCAACAAGUCCCCACACCAUAAAAACGAAAUUAUACACCACAAAACGCGAGGAACGAAGAUCAACGAAGACUCAAGCAUAGUUUUUCUUAUUUAAUUUAUUUAUUUUAUUUUCUUUAUCAUAAGAAUCACGAGUAGCUAAGUCUUUGUUUCUAGGAUUUUAUUCUGAUGGAGAACAAGGAAUUUAAGAGUUCUAUUAGGAUUAGGAGUUGUUUUAUUUUUCCUAUUUUUGGUAGUUUUAGUAUUUUCCUAGAUUAAUUAGAAUUUUAUUUUUAGUAUUUUCCUAGCUUAAUUAGGAUUUCUAAUUGAUUUGUAUAAAUAGGUGUCUUAGGGAUUUAUUUUGAAAAAAAAAAAAUUUCAAAUUUUAAUAAAAUAUUUAGAGUUUUCUCUAUUUUCUGGUGGAUUCCAGAGUUUUCGGUGGAUUCCGAAUGUUAUCGUGUUCUAUAGGAUUAAUUCGUAGAAAUUAAUUCUUUACCGUGCUUCCGUUCUGCGUCAGUUGGCAUCAGUGGCGAGGUUUUUCCCUGGUUAGAUGGCGAAAGGCGUGCAACAUGGAGACGACAACCGCGAUGGCGAUGACCGCGAGGUUGGUGACGUCUAUGCAGCGAUCGAACAAGCUACAGAAGGAUUGCGAGUGGAGUUUCGUGAGGAGCUGCGGCAACUUCGGGCGAUGCUAGAGGGACUCACCCUCAACGACAACAGCAGAAGGGGCAAACCUAACAUGGCGCGCGCUGGGAACUUGGCCCGAGGUGCACGAGUUAGGAAUCAAAACCACUAUCAUCUUCAACAAGAAAGUGAUGACGGGUCGGGUGAAGACAAUUUGGCGAUAGUAGAUGGAAACCAGCCCAGACAGAGACAAGAUGAUCAUUGCCGGAUAAAAGCUGAGAUUCCCCUUUUCCACGGGAAUCUUUCCAUCGAGGACUUCUUGGAUUGGAUUUCCGACGUGGAGCGAGCGUUCGACGUGAUGGAGACACCCCCAGAAAGAAUGGUUAAGAUGGUCGCAUAUAGGUUGAAAGGCGGGGCGGCUGUUUGGUGGGACCAACUUCAACGAUCACGAACUCGGCAAAGGAAAGGUCCUGUACUAUCUUGGAGGCGGAUGAAAGGGUUGAUGCACGAUCGAUUUUUACCGUCUAACUACGAACAACAUUUGUACAAUUUAUAUCAUAAUUGUUCACAGGGUAGUAGAUCGGUGCAUGAAUACACGGCUGAAUUUAUGCGUCUGUUAGAAAGGAAUAAUUUAAGGGAAAAUGAGAACCAACAAGUAGCUCGUUAUUUGAAUGGGUUGAGAAGUAAUAUUCGAGAUCGAAUAGGAUUACAACCGGUAUAUAACGUUGAUAACGCUCAGGGUAUGGCGUUGAGAGCUGAGGAUUUUGAGAAAAGAAGUACCGCGAAUAAUUUUAGGAGAGCGGUAACUUAUACCCCACCUCAGAACGAUAGAGGAAAAGCUGUAAAUCAGAAUCUGGUACCGACAACAACAGCCCCACGAACGCAACCCUAUGCGAGAGGUGGUGCUAGUGGUUCGAACACCAACUUCCAGCAGCGAACAAAUAAUAAUCCUUAUGCGAGGCCUUUUCCUGACAAUUGUUAUAGGUGUCACAAACCUGGGCAUCGAUCUAACGAGUGUCCUGAGCGAAGAGCAUUGAAUCUAGUGGAUGAUCCGGAAAAGAGGGACGAUAGUGAGAACGAGGGUUAUGAAGUUGACAAAAGUGAAGAGGACGAGGAGACCGAGUAUCAUAGUCACGAGAAUGGAGAACAGGUUAAUUGCGUAGUGCAACGUGUUCUUUGUUCGGCAAGGCAACUAAGCCAACGAAAUAGUAUCUUUCGUUCCCAAUGCUCGAUUAAUAAGAAGGUAUGCAAUUUGAUUGUGGACAAUGGGAGUUGUGAGAAUUUCGUAGCAAUGAGACUAGUGGAGCAUCUGAAAUUGCCUGUAGAAAAACACCCGUUUCCUUAUACUAUAGGGUGGAUUCAGAAAGGGCCCACGGUCAAAGUAACAGAAGUCUACCAGGUACCCCUCUCGAUCGGAAAGAAUUAUGUCAGCGAAAUGGUAUGCGAUGUCGUUGACAUGGAUGCAAGUGACAUUUUAUUGGGGCGUCCUUGGCAAUUUGACGUAAAUAUGGUGUACAACGGGCGAGAAAACUCCUGCAAGUUUGAAUGGGGAGGCCGGAAAACGAUCAUGCUACCUAGGACAGAGACAACGACUACUUCGGCCCGGGAAGUCGGGAAGGACCCCGUUUUUGUAGUGGCCCAAACUGAAGGUGAGUUUAUGGAAGGUGUUGAAACAGCGACCGAGAUACACGCCACCUUAGUAAAAUUGUUGGGAAUUCCGAAAGAAGAGGCGAGUUCGAAAUCGACGGUGGUAGUACCGGAAAGUGUCCAGCCUUUAUUGAAGGAGUUCGGCGAAUUGGUAGCCGAUGACUUGCCAAAUUCGCUGCCACCUAUGAGGGACAUCCAACACCAGAUUGACUUAGUGUCCGGUGCAAGCUUGCCGAACCUGCCCCAUUACCGCAUGAGUCCACAAGAAUGCGAGAUACUAUGAGAGAAGGUGGAAGAGUUGUUGGCAAAGGGCUUUAUUAGAGAGAGCAUGAGUCCGUGCGCUGUUUCGGUGUUGUUAGUGAAGAAGAAGGAUGGCAGCUGGAGGAUGUGUGUCGAUAGUCGAGCGAUAAAUCGGAUAACCAUUAAAUACCGAUUUCCAAUUCCACGACUUGAUGACAUGUUGGAUAUGCUAGAGGGGUCGAAAUUAUUCUCGAAAAUUGAUUUGAGGAGUGGUUACCACCAAAUUCGAGUUAAACCCGGGGAUGAGUGGAAAACGGCGUUCAAAACAAAAAAUGGCUUGUAUGAGUGGUUGGUGAUGUCGUUCGGCCUAUCAAACGCACCCAGCACCUUCAUGCGUGUGAUGAACCAGGUAUACGACCCUUUAUUGGAAAAUUUGUUGUGGUUUAUUUCGACGAUAUUUUGAUUUAUUGCCAGACUGAACCCAAUCAUUUGAGUCACUUGCGAGCGGUGCUAAUCGUGCUAAGAGAAAAUCUACUCUUUAUAAAUUUGAAGAAGUGUACGUUCGUGACCAGUCGCUUGGUAUUUUUGGGAUUCAUUGUGGGGGCCGAAGGAAUACAUGUGGAUGACGAGAAGGUGCGAGCUAUUCGCGAGUGGCUAACGCCCAUGAACGUUUCAGAGGUACGGAGUGCGCAUAAGCUUGGCGUCGGUGACUUCCCCUUUCUGGGAGAAGAACUCUCUCAGACGGUCCCCUGCCACAUACUUGGGCAAGUUUUUCACACAUAUCCGUGACCUUCCAAUCAAAGAUAAUUAAAAAAAAAUAUCAAUUUUAAGCAUUGGGGCUGAAGUGAAGCGGGAAGAUAGAAAGGAAGAAAAUUACAUGGUUGGUUUAUGUUUAUAUUCUUUAAUACCGAGAUACUCCAACGCUGGAAGAUGGACUAAUUAUCUCUUCUCCUCACCUCAACUACGGCCUCAAUAUUCCUAACAGGUGUUCCAGUGCAAAUGCCACUAGCCUGAUCAAACUUAAUUGAAACCCCCUCAGCCAAGCCGAGCUAAAUGCCAGUAUAAAUGCUCCGGAUACGCUUUUCCUACCAAAACAAAAAUCACUCAAAGUUUGCUGGAAGAUGAAAAAAUGAAAUAAACAAACAUGUGAUGAAUAGAAAAGAUACCGUAGAAUAGUUCGGUCGGAAUCCGGUGCAGAAACACAAACCCUAGAUAGCAAAGAGAGAAGUUGGGCUGGGCCGCAUGUGGUAUUGAAUUUGGAAGAGUUCAGCCCUAUCCAACAUUAAUUCAUUAUUAAUUAUAAUUAUAGUUAUAGUUCAAAAAAAUCUGAAAUGAAAUGAUCAGUAUCGAUAUGGUCUUAAUAGACAAUAAGGUCGUUAUUUAUUUACGCGUUUAUUUCGCUUAUGCUUAAAACAAUAUUUUGAUGUAAUUUCUAAUGUUUUUUUAGGGUGACAAGAUCCAUGCUUCUAUAAAACGUAAUCCCUUGAAAAAGUUUGAACUUACUGUGAAUGAAGGUAAUACCUACAUAUUUCAAAAUUUUAUGGCGGCUCCAAGCGAUCCAAAAUUCAGAUCAACUCGCCAUACUCACAAGAUUGUGUUUAUUAGCACUACUCGAGUAACUAAUUUCCUUGUUGAAAAUAUUCUUGUUGUCACUUUUAAUUUUACGGAUUUCCAUGAUAUCAUUAAUGACAGGGAUGAUACAUGGCUUAUAGGUAAUUUCAUUGUGUUAGAUUACGUGUUCCAUUAAUUUAUACCAAAGAUUUCAUUUUUUGUGUAUAACAAUUAUUUCCUUUUAGAUGUUAUUGGACAUAUUAUUGAAAGGGAUGCUUUGAGAUAUUAUUGAACUGUCAAUUGCAGAUCUUAGAAAGGUCUGCUACAUCAGCGAUAUACCACAAACUAGAACAACCUUUCCAUGUGUCCCUUUUGGUGAUUGACAAAAGGCAGUACAAUUAAUUCCACCAUUCAAUAGAACACAUUACCAGCUACAACUGUGGCUAUUGACGGUUAUAAUAUUUGACGAAAUAAUCUCACCAUUACUUCCUACUAAAGUGGUUCCUAAUUCAGAAGCUUGAAACUUAAAAAGAAAUAACAGACCUCACAAGUAAUUCUGCAAGUAUCCAGGAAAGACUUGUUGAAGUAGUUUGUGGCUUCCUCGGCUUCAUGCUCAGUCCUAAAUCCAACAAAUCCAAAUUGCCUGCUUUUCUCAUCCCUGAACCAAACCAAUGUUUCCUUAUGAGUUCCUUAAUUACAAUUAAAGUGGCAAUGUUUGAAGAACAAACUCACUUGGUGCGCAUAAGCAUGGCGUCGGUGACUUCCCCUUUCUGGGAGAAUAACUCUCUCAAACGGUCCUCUGCCACAUACUUGGGCAAGUUUUUCACACAUAUCCGUGACCUUCCAAUCAAAGAUAAUUAAAAAAAAAAUAUCAAUUUUAAGCAUUGGGGCCGAAGUGAAGCGGGAAGAUAGAAAGGAACAAAAUUACAUGGUUGGUUUAUGUUUAUAUUCUUUAAUACCGAGAUACUCCAACGCUGGAAGAUGGACUAAUUAUCUCUUCUCCUCACCUCAACUACGGCCUCAAUAUUCCUGACAGGUGUUCCAGUGCAAAUGCCACUAGCCUGAUCAAACUUAAUUGAAACCCCCUCAGCCAAGCCGAGCUAAAUGCCAGUAUAAAUGCUCCGGAUACGCUUUUCCUACCAAAACCAAAAUCACUCAAAGUUUGCUGGAAGAUGAAAAAAUGAAAUAAACAAACAUGUGAUGAAUAGAAAAGAUACCGUAGAAUAGUUCGGUCGGAAUCCGGUGCAUAAACACAAACCUAGAUAGCGAAGAGAGAAGUUGGGCUGGGCCGCAUGUGGUAUUGAAUUUGGAGGAGUUCAGCCCUAUCCAACAUUAAUGCAUUAUUAAUUAUAAUUAUAGUUAUAGUUCAAAAAAAUCUGAAAUGAAAUGAUCAGUAUCGAUAUGGUCUUAAUAGACAAUAAGGUCGUUAUUUAUUUACGCGUUUAUUUCGCUUAUGCUUAAAACAAUAUUUUGAUGUAAUUUCUAAUGUUUUUUUAGGGUGACAAGAUCCAUGCUUCUAUAAAACGUAAUCCCUUGAAAAAGUUUGAACUUACUGUGAAUGAAGGUAAUACCUACAUAUUUCAAAAUUUUAUGGCGGCUCCAAGCGAUCCAAAAUUCAGAUCAACUCGCCAUACUCACAAGAUUGUGUUUAUUAGCACUACUCGAGUAACUGAUUUCCUUGCUGAAAAUAUUCUUGUUGUCACUUUUAAUUUUACGGAUUUCCAUGAUAUCAUUAAUGACUGGGAUGAUACAUGGCUUAUAGGUAAUUUCAUUUUGUUAGAUUAUGUGUUUCAUUAAUUUAUACCAAAGAUUUCAAUUUUUGUGUAUAACAAUUAAUUCCUUUUAGAUGUUAUUGGACAUAUUAUUGAAAGGGAUGCUUUGAGAUAUUAUUGAACUGUCAAUUGCAGAUCUUAGAAAGGUCUGCUACAUCAGCGAUAUACCACAAACUAGAACAACCUUUCCAUGUGUCCCUUUUGGUGAUUGACAAAAGGCAGUACAAUUAAUUCCACCAUUCAAUAGAACACAUUACCAGCUACAACUGUGGCUAUUGACGGUUAUAAUAUUUGACGAAAUAAUCUCACCAUUACUUCCUACUAAAGUGGUUCCUAAUUCAGAAGCUUGAAACUUAAAAAGAAAUAACAGACCUCACAAGUAAUUCUGCAAGUAUCCAGGAAAGACUUGUUGAAGUAGUUUGUGGCUUCCUCGGCUUCAUGCUCAGUCCUAAAUCCAACAAAUCCAAAUUGCCUGCUUUUCUCAUCCCUGAACCAAACCAAUGUUUCCUUAUGAGUUCCUUAAUUACAAUUAAAGUGGCAAUGUUUGAAGAACAAACUCACUUGGUGCGCAUAAGCAUGGCGUCGGUGACUUCCCCUUUCUGGGAGAAGAACUCUCUCAGACGGUCCUCUGCCACAUACUUGGGCAAGUUUUUCACACAUAUCCGUGACCUUCCAAUCAAAGAUAAUUAAAAAAAAUAUCAAUUUUAAGCAUUGGGGCUGAAGUGAAGCAGGAAGAUAGAAAGGAAGAAAACUACAUGGUUGGUUUAUGUUUAUAUUCUUUAAUACCGAGAUACUGCAACGCUGGAAGAUGGACUAAUUAUCUCCUCUCCUUACCUCAAUUACGGCCUCAAUAUUCCUCACAGGUGUUCAAGGGCAAAUGCCACUAGCCUGAUCAAACUUAAUUGAAACCCCCUCAGGCAAGCCGAGCUAAAUGCCAGUAUAAAUGCUCCGGAUACGCUUUUCCUACCAAAACCAAAAUCACUCAAAGUUUGCUGGAAGAUGAAAAAAUGAAAUAAACAAACAUGUGAUGAAUAGAAAAGAUACCGUAGAAUAGUUCGGUCGGAAUCCGGUGCAGAAACACAAACCCUAGAUAGCAAAGAGAGAAGUUGGGCUGGGCCGCAUGUGGUAUUGAAUUUGGAAGAGUUCAGCCCUAUCCAACAUUAAUUCAUUAUUAAUUAUUAUUAUAGUUAUAGUUCAAAAAAAUCUGAAAUGAAAUGAUCAGUAUCGAUAUGGUCUUAAUAGACAAUAAGGUCGUUAUUUACUUACGCGUUUAUUUCGCUUAUGCUUAAAACAAUAUUUUGAUGUAAUUUCUAAUGUUUUUUUAGGGUGACAAGAUCCAUGCUUCUAUAAAACGUAAUCCCUUGAAAAAGUUUGAACUUACUGUGAAUGAAGGUAAUACCUACAUAUUUCAAAAUUUUAUGGCGGCUCCAAGCGAUCCAAAAUUCAGAUCAACUCGCCAUACUCACAAGAUUGUGUUUAUUAGCACUACUCGAGUAACUAAUUUCCUUGCUGAAAAUAUUCUUGUUGUCACUUUUAAUUUUACGGAUUUCCAUGAUAUCAUUAAUGACAGGGAUGAUACAUGGCUUAUAGGUAAUUUCAUUGUGUUAGAUUAUGUGUUCCAUUAAUUUAUACCAAAGAUUUCAAUUUUUGUGUAUAACAAUUAUUUCCUUUUAGAUGUUAUUGGACAUAUUAUUGAAAGGGAUGCUUUGAGAUAUUAUUGAACUGUCAAUUGCAGAUCUUAGAAAGGUCUGCUACAUCAGCGAUAUACCACAAACUAGAACAACCUUUCCAUGAUGUCCCUUUUGGUGAUUGACAAAAGGCAGUACAAUUAAUGCCCCCAUUCAAUAGAACACAUUACCAGCUACAACUGUGGCUAUUGACGGUUAUAAUGUUUGACGAAAUAAUCUCACCAUUACUUCCUACUAAAGUGGUUCCUAAUUCAGAAGCUUGAAACUUAAAAAGAAAUAAAAGACCUCACAUGUAAUUCUGCAAGUAUCCAGGAAAGACUUGUUGAAGUAGUUUGUGGCUUCCUCGGCUUCAUGCUCAGUCCUAAAUCCAACAAAUCCAAAUUGCUUGCUCUUCCCAUCCUUGAACCAAACCAAUGUUUCGUUAUGAGUUCCUUAAUCACAAUUAAAGUGGCAAUGUUUGAAGAACAAACUCACUUGGUGCGCAUAAGCAUGGCGUCUGUGACUUCCCCUUUCUGGGAGAAGAACUCUCUCAGACGGUCCUCUGCCACAUACUUGGGCAAGUUUUUCACACAUAUCCGUGACCUUCCAAUCAAAGAUAAUUAAAAAAAAUAUCAAUUUUAAGCAUUGGGGCUGAAGUGAAGCAGGAAGAUAGAAAGGAAGAAAACUACAUGGUUGGUUUAUGUUUAUAUUCUUUAAUACCGAGAUACUGCAACGCUGGAAGAUGGACUAAUUAUCUCCUCUCCUUACCUCAAUUACGGCCUCAAUAUUCCUCACAGGUGUUCAAGGGCAAAUGCCACUAGCCUGAUCAAACUUAAUUGAAACCCCCUCAGGCAAGCCGAGCUAAAUGCCAGUAUAAAUGCUCCGGAUACGCUUUUCCUACCAAAACCAAAAUCACUCAAAGUUUGCUGGAAGAUGAAAAAAUGAAAUAAACAAACAUGUGAUGAAUAGAAAAGAUACCGUAGAAUAGUUCGGUCGGAAUCCGGUGCAGAAACACAAACCCUAGAUAGCAAAGAGAGAAGUUGGGCUGGGCCGCAUGUGGUAUUGAAUUUGGAAGAGUUCAGCCCUAUCCAACAUUAAUUCAUUAUUAAUUAUUAUUAUAGUUAUAGUUCAAAAAAAUCUGAAAUGAAAUGAUCAGUAUCGAUAUGGUCUUAAUAGACAAUAAGGUCGUUAUUUAUUUACGCGUUUAUUUCGCUUAUGCUUAAAACAAUAUUUUGAUGUAAUUUCUAAUGUUUUUUUAGGGUGACAAGAUCCAUGCUUCUAUAAAACGUAAUCCCUUGAAAAAGUUUGAACUUACUGUGAAUGAAGGUAAUACCUACAUAUUUCAAAAUUUUAUGGCGGCUCCAAGCGAUCCAAAAUUCAGAUCAACUCGCCAUACUCACAAGAUUGUGUUUAUUAGCACUACUCGAGUAACUAAUUUCCUUGCUGAAAAUAUUCUUGUUGUCACUUUUAAUUUUACGGAUUUCCAUGAUAUCAUUAAUGACAGGGAUGAUACAUGGCUUAUAGGUAAUUUCAUUGUGUUAGAUUAUGUGUUCCAUUAAUUUAUACCAAAGAUUUCAAUUUUUGUGUAUAACAAUUAUUUCCUUUUAGAUGUUAUUGGACAUAUUAUUGAAAGGGAUGCUUUGAGAUAUUAUUGAACUGUCAAUUGCAGAUCUUAGAAAGGUCUGCUACAUCAGCGAUAUACCACAAACUAGAACAACCUUUCCAUGAUGUCCCUUUUGGUGAUUGACAAAAGGCAGUACAAUUAAUGCCCCCAUUCAAUAGAACACAUUACCAGCUACAACUGUGGCUAUUGACGGUUAUAAUGUUUGACGAAAUAAUCUCACCAUUACGUCCUACUAAAGUGGUUCCUAAUUCCGAAGCUUGAAACUUAAAAAGAAAUAACAAACCUCACAAGUAAUUCUGCAAGUAUCCAGGAAAGACUUGUUGAAGUAGUUUGUGGCUUCCUCGGCUUCAUGCUCAGUCCUAAAUCCAACAAAUCCAAAUUGUCUGCUCUUCCCAUCCCUGAAACAAACCAAUGUUUCCUUAUGAGUUCCUUAAUUACAAUUAAAGUGGCAAUGUUUGAAGAACAAACUCACUUGGUGCGCAUAAGCUUGGCGUCGGUGACUUCCCCUUUCUGGGAGAAGAACUCUGUCAGACGGUCCUCUGCCACAUACUUGGGCAAGUUUUUCACACAUAUCCGUGACCUUCCAAUCAAAGAUAAUUAAAAAAAAUCAAUUUUGAGAAUUGGGGCAGAAUUGAAGCGGGAAGAUAGAAAGGAAGAAAAUUACAUGGUUGGUUUAUGUGUAUAUUCUUUAAUACCGAGAUACUCCAACGCUGGAAGAUGGACUAAUUAUCUCUUCUCCUCACCUCAACUACGGCCUCAAUAUUACUGACAGGUGUUCUAGUGCAAAUGCCACUAGCCUGAUCAAACUUAAUUGAAACCCCCUCAGCCAAGCCGAGCUAAAUGCCAGUAUAAAUGCUCCGGAUACGCUUUUCCUACCAAUACCAAAAAUCACUCAAAGUUUGCUGGAAGAUGAAAAAUGAAAUAACCAAACAUGUGAUGAAUAGAAAAGAUCCCGUAGAAUAGUUCGGUCGGAAUCCGGUGCAGAAACACAAACCCUAGAUAGCAAAGAGAGAAGUUGGGCUGGGCCGCAUGUGGUAUUGAAUUUGGAGGAGUUAAGCCCUAUCCAACAUUAAUUCAUUAUUAAUUAUUAUUAUAGUUAUAGUUCAAAAAAAUAUGAAAUGAAAUGAUCAGUAUCAAUAUGGUCUUAACAGACAAUAAGGUCGUUAUUUAUUUACGCGUUUAUUUCGCUUAUGGUUAAAACAAUAUUUUGAUGUAAUUUCUAAUGUUUUUUUUAGGGUGACAAGAUCCAUGCUUCUAUAAAACGUAAUCCCUUGAAAAAGUUUGAACUUAUUGUGAAUGAAGGUAAUACCUACAUAUUUCAAAAUUUUAUGGCGGCUCCAAGCGAUCCAAAAUUCAGAUCAACUCGCCAUACUCACAAGAUUGUGUUUAUUAGUACUACUCGAGUAACUGAUUUCCUUGCUGAAAAUAUUACUUUUAAUUUUACGGAUUUCUAUGAUAUCAUUAAUGACUGGGAUGAUACAUGGCUUAUAGGUAAUUUCAUUUUGUUAGAUUAUGUGUUCCAUUAAUUUAUACCAAAGAUUUCAAUUUUUGUGUAUAACAAUUAUUUCCUUUUAGAUGUUAUUGGACAUAUUAUUGAAAGGGGUGCUUUGAGAUAUUAUUGAACUGUCAAUUGCAGAUCUUAGAAAGGUUUGCUACAUCAGCGAUAUACCACAAACUAGAACAACCUUUCCAUGAUGUCCCUUUUGGUGAUUGACAAAAGGCUGUACAAUUAAUUCCCCAUUCAAUAGAACACAUUACCAGCUACAACUGUGGCUAUUGACGGUUAUAAUGUUUGACGAAAUAAUAUCACCAUUACUUCCUACUAAAGUGGUUCCUAAUUCAGAAGCUUGAAACUUAAAAAGAAAUAACAGACCUCACAAGUAAUUCUGCAAGUAUCCAGGAAAGACUUGUUGAAGUAGUUUGUGGCUUCCUCGGCUUCAUGCAAUCCUAAAUCCAACAAAUCCAAAUUGCAUGCUCUUCCCAUCCCUGAACCAAACCAAUGUUUCCUUAUGAGUUCCUUAAUUACAAUUAAAGUGGCAAUGUUUGAAGAACAAACUCACUUGGUGCGCAUAAGCUUGGCGUCGGUGACUUCCCCUUUAUGGGAGAAGAACUCUCUCAGACGGUCCUCUGCCACAUACUUGGGCAAGUUUUUCACACAUAUCCGUGACCUUCCAAUCAAAGAUAAUUUAAAAAAAAAAAUCAAUUUUAAGCUUUGGGGCUGAAGUGAAGCGGGAAGACAGAAAAGAAGAAAAUUACAUGGUUGGUUUAUGUUUAUAUUCUUUAAUACCGAGAUACUCCACCGCUGGAAGAUGGACUAAUUUUCUUACAUACCAAGUAAUUGUACGAUAGAGUAGGUACAGGUAAUCGGAAGAAACGGCGGAGCGGUGGAGGAAGGCGGUCCACUGUGAAUACAGAGUAGGUCGCCAGAUUUUAUUUCUCCUCUUUAUUUAUUUUGCCCUUAUUCUUUUUUAUUUAAUAAUUCGCGCAGUUAUUAUAUUUUUACUGGUGCUACAUAUUGAGGCAAUUUUUUUUUUGGUGUAGUUUUAAAGUGUAGUUUUUAAAAUGGGGUUGUUUUGGGGUGGGUAACCGAAUUGGGGUUGAACGCCACCCACCACGGCGGCACCGGCAGGAGACGCCAGCUCCAACGGCGUCUCCAUAGGAGAUGCCACCGGUGGUGGCGUCUUCUCUUUAAAAUAUUAAUAUUUUUAUAUUAUAAUAUUAUAAUAUUAUAAUAUUAUAAUAUUAUAAUAUUUUAAUAUUUUAAUAUUUUUAAUAUUUAUAUUAUAUUAUUAAUAUUUUCUGAUUUUAAUUUUUUUUACAAAAUAAAACAUUAAUGUUAGUAUUAUUUAUUACAUUUUAUAUAUUUUCUCCAUUAGUGCUAAAUUAAUCAUUGCUUAUAUUUAUCUAAUUAACACAAUAAAAUAGUGUACAAUCUUAAAAACAUGUAGACAAAAACAAAAGGAGUUCUAGAAAAUAAAAUAGUUAUAUAAAAUAAAUAGGUCCAAUAAAAGAGUUAUAUAAAAUAAAUAAGUCCAAAAUGUGUACAAAGACAAAAUGAGUACAAGAAAAUAAAAUUGGCACUAUGAAGUCAAUGCCAUAUAUAUAUAUAUAUAUAUAUAUAUAUAUAUAUAUAUAUAUAUAUAUAUAUAUGGUGCCUCGGGUGAAUACAAGAACUUAUCGUAUUAUGUAUUUUCGACAUACUUUCAUAAAUCGAUUUUUAGGCUGCAUUUUUUUUAUAUCUUUUUUUACGAUUAGGUAAAAUUUGGGUGGAGCGGCUCGGAAGAUGGAGUAAGUAUAGGGGUGAUUCUGCAAUUUUCAAAACUAUGUCGGACGGGAGGUGGAUUUGUUGUCUUAAAUAUCAACAAAUCGAUCAAAUUUUACGAUUUACGAUUUAUGAAAACUGUAAAGGUAUUAUUAUAUUAUUUAUGAUAAACUUGUGAUAAUAAAUGUGGAGAAUAUUUUGGAUAUUGAAAGAGAGAUCCACUUUGGGGUCAAAUUUGUAAUUAGGGUGGAGCGGCUAGGAAUAUGGAGUAACUAUAGGGGUGAUUCUUCAAUCUUCCCAACUGUUUCAGCCAGGGAUGUGGAUUUUCGGAAAUUACAACUUGAUUUCCACUUGGGGGGCAUUUCCGGUUUGAAGACUUUAAAAUGGUAUAUAAUAUAGGGACCAAAAUAGUAAUUAUAACACGUUUAUUAUAAAUAAUAUAAUAAAUUAUUGUUUUCUUAAAUCGUAAAUCGUAAAGUUUGAUCGUUUUGUCGAUAUUUAAGUUUUAUUUUAACAUUUGAAUCGACUUAGGUAUGAAUAAUUGAAUCCUAAGAUUUGAAUCGUAAAUCAAAAGAUUUUAAACUUGGUAUUGCGAAAUUUCAUAAAUGAGUCACACGCGAUUAUAGUCGAGGAGUCGAAGCAUACUGCGUUGGUGGCAGAUAUUUCGGAUAUUGCAAGAGAGAUCCACUUUGGUGUUAAAUUUGCAAUUUGGGUGGAACGGCUUGGAAGAUGGAGUAAGUAUAGUGGUGAUUCUGCAAUUUUUUAAAUUGUUUCAGUUAGGGAAGUGAAUUUCCAAAAAUUACAAAUUGACCCCCACUUGGGGUGCGUUUCUUGUUUAAAGACCAAAAAAAAAUGUAUGUAAUAUAGGGACCAAAAAUCAGAAAAUUUGAUCGAUUAAUUUAUAUUUAAGAUUCAUUUUAACAUUUGAAGCGACAUAGAUAUGAAUGAAUUGAAUCGUACGACUUGAAUCGUAAACCAUAAGAUUUUAUGCUCGGUAUUGCGAAUUUUCGUAAAUGAGUCACACACGAUUAUAGCUGAGGAGGAUUAGAAGCAAACUGCGUUGGUGGCGGAUAUUUCGGAUAUUGCAAGAGAGAUCCACUUUGGGGUUAAAUCUACAAUUUGGGCGGAGCGGCUGGGAAUAUCGAGUAAGUAUAUGGGUGAUUCUGCAAUUUUCAAAACUGUUUCGGCCAGAGAGGUGGAUUUCUAGAAAUUACAAAUUGACCCCAACUUGGGGUGGAUUUCUUAUUGAAGGACCAAAUUAAAAAAAAAUGUAUGUAAUAUAUAGGGACCAAAAAUCGUAAAAUUUGAUCGAUUAGUUGAUAUUUAAGAUUUAUUUUAACAUUUCAAUCGGCAUAGAUAAGAAUGAAUUGAAUCGUAAAUCAUAAGAUUGUAUGCUCGUUAUUGCGAAUUUUCGUAAAUGUGGCGGAUAUUUUGGAUAUUGAAAGAGAGAUCCACUCUUUGGGGUCAAAUUUGCAAUUUGGGUGGAUCAGCUAAGGAGAUGGAGUAAGUAUAGGGUUGAUUGUGCAAUCUUCACAAUUGUUUCAGCGAUGGAGGUUGAUUUUCGGAAAUUACAAAUUGACCUCCACUUGGGGGCAUUUCCGGUUGAAAGACCGAUAUUAAAAAUGGUAUAUAAUAUAUGGACCAAAUCUGUAAUUAUAACAUGUUUAUUAUAUAUAAUAUAAUAAAUUAAAGUUUUCUUCAAUUGUAAAUUGUACAAUUUGAUCGUGUUGUCGAUAUUUAAGAUUUAUUAAUAUUUGAAUCGACUUAUGUAUGAAUAAAUUGAAUCGUAAGAUUUGAAUCGUAAAUCAUAAGAUUCUGUAAGUAUAGGGGUGAUUCUAUAAUUUUAAAAAUUGUUUCGGCCAGGCAGGUGGAUUUCCAAAAAUUACAAAUUGACCCCCACUUGGGGUGCAUUUCUGGUUUAAAGACCAAAAAUAAAAAGAGGUAUAAUAAUUUAGGGACCAAUAAAAUUUGAUCGUUUUGUUGAUAUUAAAGAUUUGUUUUAACAUUUGAAUCAACAUAGAUAUGAAUGAAUUGAAUCGUAAGAUUUGAAUCGUAAAUCAUAAGAUUUUAUGCUCGUUAUUGCAAAUUUUCGUAGAUGUGGCGGAUAUUUUGGAUAGUGAAAGAGAGAUCCACUUUGGGUUCAAAUUUGCAAUUUGGGUGGAGCGGAAGAAGGAGUAAGUAUAGGGGUGAUUCUGCAAUUUUCACAACUAUUUAAGCCAAGGAGGUGGAUUUUCGGAAAUUACAAAUUAACCUCCACUUGGGGGGCAUUUCCGGUUUAAGGAACAAAAUUAAAAAAAUGUAUAUAAUAUAGGGACCAAAACUGUAAUUAUCAUAAAAAUAAUAUAAUAAAUUAAAGUUUUCUUAAAUCGUAAAUAGUAAGCUUUGAUCGUUUUGUUGAUAUUUAAGAUUUAUUUUAACUUUUGAAUCGAUUUAGGUAUGAACGAAUUGAAUCGUAAGAUUUGAAUUGUAAAUCAUAAGAUUUUAAACACCAUAUUGCGAAUUUGCAUAAAUGAGUCACACGCGAUUAUAGUUGAAAAGUAGAAGCAUACUGCGUUGGUGGCGGAUAUUUCGGAUAUUGCAAGAGAGAUCCACUUUGGGGAUAAAUUUGCAAUUGGGCUGGAGCGGUUGGGAAGAUGGAGUAAGUAUAGGGAUGAUUGUGCAAUUUUCAAAACUGUUACUGUCAGGGAGGUGGAUUUCCAAAAAUUACAAAUUGACCCCCACUUGGGGUGCAUUUAUAGUUGGACCAGAAUUAAAAAAUAUAUAUAUAAUAAUAGGAACCAAAAAUCGUAAAAUUUAAUCGAUUUGUUGAUAUUUAAGAUUUAUUUUAACAUUUGAAUCAACAUAGAUAUGAAUGAAUUGAAUCGUAAGAUAUGAAUCGUAAAUCAUACGAUUUUAUGCUCGGUGUUGCGAAGUUUCAUAAAUGUGGCGGAUAUUUUGGAUAUUGAAAGAGAGAUCCGCUUUGGGGUCAAAUUUGUAAUUUGGGUGGAGUUGUUAGGAAGAUUGAAUAAGUAUAGGAGUGAUUAUGCAAUUUUCAGAACUGCUUCAGCUAGGGAGGUGGAUUUUCUGGAAAUUACCAAUUGAUCUCCACUUGGGGGCAUUUCCGGUUUAAGGACCAAAUUAAAAAUGGGAUAUAAUAUAGGAACCAAAAUAGAAAUUAUAACACGUUAAUUAUAAAUAAUAUAAUAAAUUAUUGUUUCCUUAAAUCGUAAAUCGUAAAAUUUGAUAGUAUUGCGAAUUUUCGUAAAAUGAGUCAUACGCAAUUAUAGUUGACGAGUCAUUGNNNNNNNNNNNNNNNNNNNNNNNNNNNNNNNNNNNNNNNNNNNNNNNNNNNNNNNNNNNNNNNNNNNNNNNNNNNNNNNNNNNNNNNNNNNNNNNNNNNNGCGAAUUUUCGUAAAUGAGUCAUACACAAUUAUAGCUGAGGAGUCGAAGCAUACUGCGUUGGUGGCUGAUAUUUCGGAUAUUACAAGAGAGAUCUACUUUGGUGUAAAAUUUGCUAGUUGGAAAAAAAAAAAAAAAAAAAAAAAAAAAAAAACAAGGAAAUCUCUUUGCAAUGAGCUGGUACCAUUCUUGUGUUUACAAAUUGACCCCCACUUGGGUUGCGCAUUUCAUUUCUUUUUUAAGCAUCAAAUUUUAAAAAAAAUGUAUGUAAUAUAGGGACCAAAUCUGUAAUUAUCCCAAGUUUAUUAUAAAUAUAAAUAAUAUAAUAAAUUAAAGUUUUCUCAAAUCGUUGCUCGGAAACCGUACAAACCUAAAAACAAAACUUAAACGUACGCCACGAACUUGAUAGACAAUUCAAAAAAUUAUGCGACGUACAAUCAAAUUUUUGGUUUUCAAUUUUACCAAAGGUAUGAAAAUACAAGAAAGAUCGGAUUACAAGUGUCUACAAAAGCUGUGAAUACCUUCAAGUGCUUGAAAUCUUUUUGUAAUUCGAUGUACAGGAAGUUGAAAAACAAUAAGAAAAUAAUAAACGGGAAAACAGAGAAUGAAUAUGAGGUGAACGUGUGAUUCCUCACCUGAUUUUGUUGCAUUCAAAAGUUCUGAAAAUGCAAUUACAGGAUACAGGUUGCUUAAUUAAAUUAUAGACCUAAUAGCCCCAACUACGAAAACAAAUAUUCAUAGAAGAGAGGGAGGGCUUUUUGCGAUCGAGCAGCGAUUUCAUCCGCUUUCCUGAACAAAAGAUACAAUCAUAGAAGGAAAUAGGGAAGGCCUUUUGAGAUCGAGCAGCGAUUCAUCCACUUCCCUAAAGCACCAAUAUGUGCAGAGAAAAUUGGAAAAUAUGAGAACACAAAUCGAAAACCGCCGGAAUGUGUGCCUCGUGUGUCCAGUCGACGGAGGCCGGGAAAUAAGGAGGUGGUGGAGAGGGAGCAAAAAUUUUGAAGGAUAAUGUACAAGAAGUAAAUCGUAAGGAAAAAAUACAAAUAUAAGAGGCAUAAACCAAAGUAAUAUAAAGAAGUCCAACGUCAAUCGUCGAAAGUGCAAAGCUACUCGUCAGAGUGGCGCCGUCUACAGAUGUGGACGAACUCAACUCCAGCUGAGAAUUCACUCAGCCGAAUAAAAUCAGCUAUAAGAAGUAAACUUCACUGGAAGACAUCAAUAUAAUUCUUGAACAAGCGGCAAACCUGUGUACGAGCAGAGAGAGCAACAGCAAACCGAAGCCGAAACACCAAAAAAGGGCUAACCUGUAAUUGAAUAUAGAAAACACAAAGAAAAAGAAAAGAAAGGAAACAAUGGUUGCGAAUGAAGAAAGUAAUAAAUUAGAUUGGGUGAACACCAAAAAGAGAAAAUUACAGGAAAACAGAAGAGAGUCACCUGCACCACGACUCAACCUUUGGAAGCCAUAAACAAAGAAGUUCCGACUUUUUAUCCAGCAUAUGAAAAGAAUAUUAAACAAUAGUAACAAAUGAAAUUGUUGUGUGAGUUUGGAGUCAAAGAAUAUAAAUAACAAAUAUCACAUAGUUCAAAAUUCCUUGUAAUAAUCCGUCGGAAGCUGAAUUUUAGCGACGUACCUCGGAUCCAAAUAGAGGUAUGUAUGCAACCCCAAGUUUGAAAAAUUGCCGUGAGGGAAUCAUGGUCGAAUUUUUUGACAUAAUUUCAAAAGUUCCAUAGAAGUAGAUAGUACAAACGGAGUCCAGAAUAAAGGAGAAGCAAACAAAAGUGUUCCUUACAAAAGUGAUGGAUCGACAAUGUAUUUGUUAUUCAAACUUUCAAACAUCCACGUCUUCAUGACUAAUAAGAAAUUCCAAACUUCACAAACAAAAACAUCAAAACCACAAAAGAGUACACAAAAAUAGAGAUGUUUCGGCAAAGACAUACAAUUAUAACUCUUUACCUAGUAAUCUUGCCGAGUUGAACAAUUGGCGGUGUAGCACAAACACCAUCAUAAAGUAGCAACAAUACCAGUUUUUGAAGAACUUGUACCCUCUUGGCAGAUUCGCAGCCAAAAAAAAAUAACCGAUUACGAUUUCAAAGAAUAAAUUGUAAAUAAUAAAAGAGCAUAACGGAAACAAAAAUUGUGCAACUCCCUAUACAUUUCAGAAAAUUAUGGUAUUGGAUAAAGAAAUUUACUAAUUCUGCAACUCCCUAUACAUUUAUAAAAAAAGAUAUUGGAUAAAGAAAUGUACUUAUUUAGAACCAUAUGCCAACGAGCAAGACUAUGCGCUAAACAAACAAAAAUAAAAUCAAAAUUACUCAAUGAGCAAGAAAAAUUCUAAAUACCCAAACUCACUCGUUUUUUCUGAUAUCGUGUAAUAAACAAAACCUGGUGAUAACGAAAUGAUUUCUUCCUUCCGUGAUAUAACAUGGCACGAAGAACUUAUAGGGGGAACGAAUAUCUGAAGCAGAGUCAUUCUCAUUAGUUGGUGUAUCUACCUUUGGCCUCUCCAGAUUUUACACCAAUCCAUAGUGUACAAAAAUUCGAAAUACAAAAUAGAUAAGUUUAUUAAACACCAAAAAAAAUAAGGAACAAAACAAAUCAGUAAAUCCAUAAACUAAAAAAUAAUGAAAAAUGAGCGGUAGCUAAAGUUUUGCUGGCGAAGAUAAGAGCAGGAGAUAUGCAAUUAAUGAGUGAAUAUAUUUUAAAGAAUUAAAGGAGGACGUAUAACAUAUACAUGUCGAAGUGAACAUAUAUGUACAGAGGAAUAAGAUUAUAUGUUGUACACCCUCUUCUUCUCCGGUGAUGGAUCCACAUAAACUGAUUGAGAAGAAAGAAUCAUAAAUAAGUUGUAGCUAUAGAGUAAGAUAAAUGGUGCAUAAACCAAGAUCAGAAACUAACAAGAUAGGAAAACUAAUGGAAUUUUUCAAGACAACGGUUGGUGCUAAUAACAAAUUAAAUGUCGCAAUCUAUUGUUCUUUUAAACAAUCAUAAAGCGAAAACAUGAAAUGCCAUUUCUAAAUAAUUAAUGAAGGUGGCUAAAGGUUUUAUAUAGUAACAUCCGGUUCCUUAAUUAGUUGCUUCACACAGAAGCGUAAUUGAGAUGUCGGAGUGAAUUUUCUUUUAAAAUCAUCUAUACUACUUAUAAAAGUGGGAAUGUUAGGGGAGGUUUCUUCCCUUUUUUGUGAUGACCAAAAUGCCCCUAUCAAAAAUAAAAUAAUUAAUAUUAAUUUAUAAUUAGUUUUUUAAUGUAUGUUUACGAAAAUAAUUGAUAUUUUUUAGAGUUCAAUGUAUAAAGGCAUCUGAAAAGAUGAACUCAUGUAUCUAUUAAAUGUUAGUCAUGUAAGAAAUUCAAAGAAACUCAAUGGUCGAUAAUUCAAUAUGAAUUUCAAUUUUGCAUCAGUUACACCAAAGAAAGAAAUAAAUGAUCGUAACUUCCAGUUUCAAGUUCUCAUUCAUCUUUUCUUUCUCUUCUCGAUUUCUUUUUCGUUUUCUUCUUUUUUAUUUAUUUUUUGUGUUUUCAGUUCUAUGUUUAAUUGUUUGAACCCUAAAUUUUGAGAAAUUGAUAAAGUUUUCUAGAUUAAUAAAGGAAUAAAUCCUCCAUAUCAAGAUCGGAUUGAGCCUCUGUUAAUAAAGUUCGUAAGUUAUUUUGCAUAUUUUUCCCACUUCUAUGUACUAAGUUAAUUUUUUUUAUUCAUUUGAAUUAAUUGACCUAAUGAAACAUGUAUGGGUUAUAUGCAUGGGGAUUAUUGAUUUAAAAUUAUUUCUACUCAGGUAAUUCAAAAAUCGUGUUUCAAUUUCAUAAAAUUAAUGAUCUAUGCAUGGGGAUUAUUGAUUUAACUUUUAUCUACUAAAUUUACUUGCAAUUACAUUUUAUUUUUCCGUUCAAUUCUUUAUUUAUGUAUUGGCAGGUAAGAUUCAUUGUGAUAUAGUUUGUGACUAAGAAUGUUAUACGUGAAGUUUGUAAGGACUUUCUAUUUCAACUGGCUUCUUCUUGUCAAUUCAAAUUCACGUAUGUACAUUAUCAGGGACUCAUAACAAAAGAAAGAAAAUGUAUUGAUCCUGCAACUGCUUUAUUUGCUUAAUCCAAAGGUGAUGUUGCAUGACUUUGGGUUUAGCCAGUGAUCCAAUCUCAUCAAAGUUGUGAGUCUUUCUCCAACAAGACUAAGCUAUACAUUUUCUGGAAACCAUAAUUUAAUUUUUAAUUUAUGUGGCUCUUGGUAUUCCACAUCCCGUUUAUGAAAAUAGGAAUUGAACUGCCAUGUUAUUAAUAUUUGCUAAUGUUAUGAAUUGUGAGUGGAUAAAUAGGAAAUAAUCUGUUAAAUGGGCUUUAUAUUGCUAUUGGUAGUUUUGCAUUAGAUGAUUAUAUUGGAUUGUCAUGUUUUAGUUACUCUGAGACUUCACUUUUGGUGGCUUGACUAUCUCUAUUGGUUAGUGAUAUAAAUUUUAGGGGAAAUUCUACUUUCCCACAUUUUACUUUGGCUCGGUAUCACUUUACCCCAUUCUAUUAAUUUGCCCCCCUAUACUUGAAAAAUUAUCUCAACGUGGUCCUCGCUGUUAGUUGUCUGACAUUUGACCUUAACGCCGUUUGAUCUAAGCUCUAAAAUUACAAAACUGCCACCCCUCACAAUUUAAAUAAUUAUUUAAAAAUAAUAAUAAUAAUAAUAAUAAUAAUAAUAAUAAUAAUAAUAAUAAUAAUAAUAAUAAUAAUAAUAAUAAUAAUAAUAAUAAUAAUAAUAAUAAUAAUAAUAAUAAUAAUAAUAAUAAUAAUAAUAAUAAUAAUAAUAAUAAUAAAAAUAAUAAUAAAAAAAUCAAGAAACGAGAAAACAUAGUCAACGACGUCUGCUACCAUUUAUUUAUUUUUUUAUUUUUUGGAUUUUUUAAUAAUUAUUUAAGCUAGGAGGAGUGGUUUUUUUUUGUAAUUUCCAGACUUAGAUCAAACGGUGUUAAGGUCAAAGGUCUGAAAACUAACGGCAAGGGCCAUAUUGAGACAAUUUUUCAAGUAAAGUCAUAUUCAACCAAAGUACAAGGAGGAAAGUGGAAUUUACCCUAAAUUUUAUGCACUUGACUGAUGGUUUUAUGUUGUCUAAUGGUAGACAAAUAUAACAUGAAAUUAAAAGUUAUUUCUCAUGUAAUUUAUUUAUAUAAACUUGUUUCCGUGAUUUUUAUUUUGAUGGCAAAAAUUUUAAUGCCCCUUGUUUGUUUUAUCUUCUAUAUUAUUUGAAUUUUUAGUGAUUUUAUUUGUUCAUGAACUUCUUAUAUUUUCCAAUUCAUAUUUUUUCCGAAUAAAUGUUAGGGUCCAAUGGCUAUAGAUAGUUUCCUUUUCAAUUUAAUAAGUUUUGUGUUUACUCCAAAUUAAAAAUCAUGAGUUAAGUUUUAGGCUCUGAUUGAAUCAUCAGUCUCCUUCUCCUUCGUGCAGACAAUACCUCCCACCUUAUGCAAAACACUUGUAUUCGCUGUCGUGCUGUCAUAAAAAAAUUUAAUGUUAUUAGAUAUUAAAUUCCUUUAACACAAAUCUUCGAUCUGGUUCCCAUUACUAUUCAGGUGAGUUUUAGGGAGAUAUUAUUAUAGAAAAUCUACGAGCCAUUCAAGGGGAUACUAGAGUGAAUUAUGCCGGUUUACUUUAUAUGCUUUAUCACCAUUAUUAUUGGAGAUAUUAGUGACAAAUGAUACACUUCACUAAUAGCUCAAACUUUCGGUUGAGGUAGUCAUUCAACAUGGUAUCAGAGUCAGACCAAAUGAAAGGUCAUGAGUUCGAAUCCCACUGCCAUCCAUUUCAAAUAUUUCAAGUGCAAGGCUUCCAAUGUAAUUUGCUUAAACUUUAGGGGGCGACGAAUUGAAGAUAUUAGUAUUAAAUAAUAAUAGCUUAAUUUUUGGUUGAGGUGGUCAUUCAACAACUAUAUUUAGUUCGUUUUUUUUUUCCUUUUAUAGCAAGUCGAUGUGAUCCGUCAAAACUACAAGAUAAGGAUGUUGGAUGUACAUCAUUUUUCUUAGACAUAACAGGCAUGGGAGGUACAACCGUACAUGUGAAGUCAACAACAAAUGGAUUCUCCGAUCCAUGGUGUAGUCACAUGAUGAUGAAACUGAUAGCUGAAGGACAAAAUGAAGCCAUCCAAAAUGCAUAGGCAGAAAUUUCAGCUCAAUCUUGUAUUCUCGAAUGGUUUUACUAAAUAGUUAGUUUAAGGAAGCUAAGUGAAGAAAUGGUUGUACAUGUAGUUCGUUCUUUGUUUUGAUAUUUCAUGACAUACCAAUGGUUGAAGACAAACUGUUUUAGUUUCAUUAAUAUAUUUCAUUAUUUUAUUUAGAAUUGUAGCAGGUUUUACUGUAUACAGGUCAAGAUUAUGCUCUUGAUACGCUCUUUUAGAAUGCAUUCAAAUAGACAAUCAACUCAGUGCUCUAGAAUAAAGAAGACACAUUUUACUACCCUUGAGAUACAAGUUCACUUGAGAUAUAUCUUUCAAUCUUUGUAACAUAUCAAAGAUAUCAUUGUAUGCAAACUUAUGGACAAUAUCUAAAGUUCUUCCAUGAAUUAUUUAUUCUUUAUAAUUAGACAUAGUUUCACUUUGUGAAAUUAUUAUGUCAUUAUUUUGACAAGAUGAUGGCCUGGUACAUAGUAUGUCAAAGUCAAAAUGCCCUGAGGUAUGUUAUUAAAUAUGCAAGUCUCUUUUUUGUUUAUGAGAACCUCUCAUCUUCUAUGUUUCGAAUUUAUCUAAAUUCUCUAACUCUAAAACGAUCGAGACUAUUAUAGAGCUACUCUAGACUUGCGGUCAUGUGGAGUGAUACUCUUUGUAAAGGUUGAACGAACCUAACCUUCUCUUUACACUACUGUGAAGCAUAUAGACCAAUUAAAUUUGUGUUGAGUAUGUUUGGAACAUAAUUUAUAUUCAUGCUCUUUGCUAGCUGGAAAUUAUGUUAAUGCACAAGCUUCUAAGUUUUUUGUUUAUUUUUCUAAUGUAUGUUUCAUCAUUCAAUAAGAAAAAGAAAUGGAAUUGGUUAAAGAGAGGGUAAUCCAUAAUAAGCAGAGUACUGUUGCAUAAGGACUAGGUGUGCCAUGAAGAACAUUACAAUUGGAUGAUGCAUUUUGGUUAUCAUGAGUACAUUAGAUGUCCCACCAGAGAGUUAUAAGAGUUGUAUUAGUUUUCAAUGAUUUCACAUAGACAUCAUUAACUUCAACAACUAUCAUAUUACAAUAGCAAUACUAAACAAAAUCUCGUAAUUGACUGCAGAUCUGAUCAUAAAUCUCGAAAAAUAUGUUUUCCUAGGAUUCACCUGAAUUUCAAUGUAUAUGCAAUACAAAGAAGAUAAGAGAAGCAUUUUAAGUUUGAUUUGAUGCAGUUUACAUUUCUCCAAUAUUUACAGAAGUAGUGUUAAGUGUAUAUUUUUACACUUAAUCGUACCUUUUAAUUGGAGCUUUUGGUGUGUUUUAAUGAUAAUUGGUGCUUAAAAUGUUGAUUUAUUGUAUUUUAGGUACAAAUUGAAGAAUUGGAUAAGUAUGGGGUAAAAACUGCAAUUUUGGAGAAAAUAUGGGCGAAAAGUGAAGAAGUAAAAAAUCUAAAGAAUUAUAGCCCAGAAGGCCGUCUGAGAAUUACACUUAAAUCUCAGACGGUCGUCCGAGAAACAGAGGCAGUGUCUGGAAUUGAGACGGCCGUCCGAGUUUUAGUACAUAAUCUCAGACGGCCGUCCGAGAAGGCGUAGAAGCGCAGUAAAUGAAUUUUAAUUGCACAGGGAAACUACCUUCUCCUCCAAAUUUUCCACCCUAUAUAAGACCAAGUCAAGCACAUAAUUGGGCAUCAAUCUUUUACGCAAUUUCAAGAGCAACGAAGCAAUAACAAAGACGAAGAAUUCGAAGAUUAUAAGCAUAGUUUAUCUUUUUAUGAAUUAUUAUUGUUUUUACUUUAAUCAUGAGUAGGUAACUCUUUUAUUCCUAGGAUUUUAUUUCGAACCCUAUGUGGGAUUUAUGAACCCAAUUCUAUGAUUUAAUGCAAGUUUUAAUUUCGGAUUAUUUCUUCUACUUGUUUUAUUAAGUGCAUAAACUUGAUCACAUUAUGUGCUUUUAUGUUAUUGUUAAUCGCAUGAAUCGGAAGAUCGGGUUAAUAAUUAGAAUUGUGGUAGAAGAGCCUUUUGUGUUAUUAACAUAGGAAUAUAGUUAAUCUCUUAGGUAGCCAUUAUUGAGACUUGUGCUUAAUGUUGUGUUCUAGAAUUAAUUGCGUAGGAAUACAGUAAUUGAAUCUAGAGUAUUAGAAUCUUAAUACACGCGGAAGCGGGUUAUGAUUAAUUUAGCAUCUCAGGUUAAUAAUCUGAGUUAAUUACUUGCAUAAUUGAAGGGAUUGAGGGAGUAAUAAUCACAUAGGGGGGGAGAAUAAAAUCCUAGGUUUGCUUUCUCUGGUUAAAUGUUCGAUUUUACUUGCUUUCUUGCUUUUGUCUUUUUAAUUUGCUUAAUUUAGUUUAGUUCAUUUAGUUUAUUAUUCAUCUUUCGACUGUGUAGGGUGAGCUUGAUAAUAAUUGAUAGGAUUUAGCGUAUAGGAUUAAGUAAUUAAAUAUUCUCUGUGAGAUCGAUAUCCGGACUUAAUUGUCAACUAUAUUACUUGUACGAUACGCGCACUUGCGUGUAGGUAUUAUCACCAACAAGUAGCAAUAUGUUUUUGGUCUAAAACCAAUUGACUCAUAUUUAAUAAAAGGCAUCUUGCAAUCUAAUAUGGACACAAAAAAAAUAUUUUCACCAUAUAAUAAUAUUACGACACGUGCAACGCACGUGCACCUUGCUAGUAUACCAAAACACACGAAAAUAUAAUUUCAAAUUUCAGAUCAAUUAGGUAUCUUGGAAGGUAAAAUGCAAGCAUAAAAAUACAAUUUGACUUACAUCAGACUUGAGUAACAAACAAAGAACAGAGUGUGAGGGAGUAAAGGAAAAUAAGUAGCUCACAGGCAUAGUCUAACAAACAGGAUGUGAGAGAAGAGAUGCAACUCUCCAACCUCCUUCAUACUGGACAUAAACCUUUCCAAAGCCAUGCUUUCUAAUCUGUGCCAAAAAUAAAGUGUUUAAAUAUACGUAAACACCGAUAGAUAUCAGGAAAACAAGUUUGCAACUCGAAAUAGGCACAUAAAAAUAGCUGCAUCAUUACCAAACAAAACAAGAACGGAUAGACAUCGCGCUUCAAUGAUUCGAUAAAGAUUGUAGGAAAUCCAAUUCAGACCCGGGAACUGGCACCCACAGAGAAGAACCGAAAUUGUAAGCAAAAUCCAGAAAUAUUCAACGGCGAUUCAGCAAUUGUGGGCGACGAGUGAGGACGAAGAAGCAAGAGAAGAAAAAGAAAAUCGAGAAUAAAAGAAAAGAGAAAAGAAGAAGCAAACAGGUCGAUCAUACACCUCGUGAAAAGAAGGGAAAAGAAAAGAAAGGACAGAGGCGUAUAAUAACACGGACAAACUGUAAGAAGAAGAUAAUAAAAAUGAACCAAUAGUAUUCAUCAAUAAAGAAUCAAAAGAUAAUAAAUAAGAUCGAGUCAUACGAUGGAGGAUAUCUAGGAAUGUCUCGGCAGCAACCUUGCAAAUAUCAGGAAAAUCAGGGAAAUAGAAACCUUACUUGAUGUAGCAUGAGAAAAAUAAAAUAAAUGCUCACAAUAGAACAUAAGUGGAAAUACAUCAAAGGCAGUAGGCAAUUCGAUUAAAUACAAGAUACUAAUAAUAAUAAAGAUACGAACCCGUGAACAAAAUUAGCGGUUCCAUAUAGCGGAUCGACAAUCCAAGUCGGUUCGUCGGUCAAUUCUGUGGUGCCAAAAGCAGCAGUAGUUUCUUCCCCAAUGAACUAACAUGAAACAAAAGACUAACGUCAAGAUACAGAGUUCACUAUAGCGAACAUCCAACUGGAAAAAAAAACGGUACCAAGAAAUCCAAAACUGUAGUUUGAGAAAAUCGAAAAUGAGUUCUUCGCAUUUCUUGUCAGUCUCUGUGACCAAAUCUACCUACACGGAACGAUCGACACACAUCAGCAUAUAAAAAAAUUAAAAACAAACAAACGCGUCCCAAUAUAUAAACUCCUAACAUCAUCAUUCAUCAGAACAAAUUUCCGAAACCCGAAGAAGCAAUCGAAGCAUUACCGAAGUCGACAAUCGGAAAGCUGCGCUUAACAGUGAGCAUAAAUAGCACAGUCCCAACAGUUUUUAGAGUAAUACGAUUUACGAAACAGAUACCAAUUAAUUACGAUUUACGUAACAGUAAACAAAUCUAUUACAGAUUACUGAAGAUAUACCUCUUGUUCAUAAAUUGAAGGGUUACACAAAAUGUUUAAACCUAGGAAUAUGAAAUGAUAUUAUACAUAAAUCAACAAAUCAAAAUAAGCUAAUAUUUUACCUCGCCUUUGUGCUCCACCUUUUUCGUCUCGUAAAACCCAUAAUGAAUUACACCUGUUUACCCAAAACCAAAAAAUUAAAUAAAAAUAAUAAUAAAAACAGUGAAAUGUGGGCGAAAGCUGAUCUAAUUAUGUCCUCAAAAAAUUGCCGAAGAGCACCUCCCAGCACUCUUACCAGCAUCCACCGCCGCCGCCAGGAAAUCCUCCACUGAACCUGAAAAUCAAAGAAGAAUCCCGAUGAAUAAACCACUGAAAAACAAAGACGCUAAUAAAACUGACCUCGCUCCGAUGGCAGCUCUGGAAGAAAAAUUGACUUUAAAAGGUUCUUGAGGAGAAAAAAUGUUGGAAAAAAAAUUGGAGCCGCGGCGUCGAAACGGGUGCCGACCCCGAACGGAGUGGCAGUG